GACGAGGGACCUAGCGUUGUUCGGAAUCAUUGGGCGUAAAGCGUCUGUAGGUGGCUUUUUAAGUCCGCCGUCAAAUCCCAGGGCUCAACCCUGGACAGGCGGUGGAAACUACCAAGCUGGAGUACGGUAGGGCAGAGGGAAUUUCCGGUGGAGCGGUGAAAUGCGUAGAGAUCGGAAAGACACCAACGGCGAAAGCAACUCUGCUGGGCCGACACUGACACUGAGAGACGAAAGCUAGGGGAGCGAAUGGGAAUUAGAA
rnacentral:rRNA from 1 species